CCGGGCCCUCAGGGUUUUCCGGGUCCUGCUGGCUUUCCUGGACUUAAAGGCGACAAGGGAGACCCGGGAAGGGACGGACUCGCCGGAACGGCGGGGCAGCCUGGAGCCCCUGGACACAUCUUCAUGAUACCAUACCAGACAGCGGGAGACACCAAAGGUCCUGACAACACUGAAUCGCUGCGACAGAUGCUCAGCCAGCACAUGCUCGCGAUGCGGGGUGCCCC
rnacentral:lncRNA from 1 species